AGAAAAUUAAAAAAGACUAAAGAUAAAUAAGAACGAUAAAAAAGAAAGAAAGAAAGAAAGAGCCUCUUAGUGUUUGUCUGUCUGUCUUUUCCCCCUUCUUCUUCUUUCAUUUUUAGCUACCAAUCUAAUUCAGGGAAAAAUAA
rnacentral:ribozyme from 13 species